CUGGCGGCAUGGAUUAGGCAUUGCAAGUCGCACGAGAAUUCCGCUUUCGGGCGGGAGGACAGUGGCGAACGGGUGAGUAACACGUGAGCACCCACCCCCGGGUCGGGCACAGCCCGCGGAAACGCGGAUUAAUACCCGACGGUCCCUUCGGGGCAAAGAGCAAUCGCCCGGGGACGGGCUCGCGUCCCAUCAGCUAGUCGGCGGGGUAACGGCCCGCCGAGGCGACGACGGGUAGGUGGUCUGAGAGGAUGGUCACCCACACUGGGACUGAGACACUGCCCAGACUCCUACGGGAGGCUGCAGUCGAGAAUCAUCCGCAAUGGGCGAAAGCCUGACGGUGCAAUGCCGCGUGGGGGAUGAAGGCCCUCGGGUCGUAAACCCCUGUCAGAGGGGACGAAAAACAUGACGGUACCCUCAGAGGAAGCCACGGCUAACUACGUGCCAGCAGCCGCGGUAACACGUAGGUGGCGAGCGUUAUUCGGAUUUACUGGGCGUAAAGGGUCCGCAGGGGGUUUGCCAAGUCCGGUGUGAAAGUCCGGGGCUCAACCCCGGAACUGCGCCGGAUACUGGUGAACUUGAGUGCGCGAGGGGCAGGCGGAAUUCCUGGUGUAGCGGUGGAAUGCGUGGAUAUCAGGAAGAACACCGACGGCGAAAGCGGCCUGCUGGCGCGCGACUGACCCUGAUGGACGAAAGCGUGGGUAGCGAACAGGAUUAGAUACCCUGGUAGUCCACGCCGUAAACGGUGCAGACCCGAUGCGGGGGGGUUUCCCUCCGUGUCCAAGCCAACGCGUUAAGUCUGCCGCCUGGGGACUACGGUCG
rnacentral:rRNA from 1 species